rnacentral:rRNA from 1 species
UGGGGAAUAUUGGACAAUGGGCGCAAGCCUGAUCCAGCCAUGCCGCGUGGAUGAUGAAGGCCUUAGGGUUGUAAAGUCCUUUCGGCGGGGAAGAUAAUGACGGUACCCGCAUAAGAAGCCCCGGCUAACUUCGUGCCAGCAGCCGCGGUAAUACGAAGGGGGCUAGCGUUGCUCGGAAUUACUGGGCGUAAAGCGCACGUAGGCGGCUUGUUAAGUCGGAGGUGAAAUCCUGGAGCUCAACUCCAGAACUGCCUUCGAUACUGGGAAGCUUGAGUUCGGGAGAGGUGAGUGGAACUGCGAGUGUAGAGGUGAAAUUCGUAGAUAUUCGCAAGAACACCAGUGGCGAAGGCGGCUCACUGGCCCGAUACUGACGCUGAGGUGCGAAAGCGUGGGGAGCAAACA